AUGUGCGCGUGGACGGCCAGCCACACUGGCGCCUGUCUCAACUCGCGCGCAUCGCGUCGCGGCUCCGGCCGCGCAUCCGCAGGCCUCGCGUCGCCAAGAUCUGGCUCGAGCGCCCUUCUCCUCCGCGGCGUCAUCCUACCGCCGCCCGCACCCCGACUCUUUAGCAACGGCCCCGAGCGGCCAUGUCUUCCUGCGCCCUCGCGAACGGGGGGAGGAGCCCGAGAUCCCCUGCUCCUUGUCGCCCACCCGGCUGCAGCGCCUGGCCUGCCCGUGGCCGACCUGCCGCGUCCCCGCCUCCACCGGGUUCCCGAGCCGCCGGCCUCCGCCACGCUCCGGCUGCUUUCGGCCUCCCCCUCCUCUGCGCACCCGGCUAGGGCCGGCUCCGAGUAUCCCACGACGGCUGCAGCCUUGCCUCCCCGGCCGGCUCCUGCAUCUCCUCUGCCUGUUCCCGCCGUCGGGUUCGCCGCCCGGCUCCUCCUCAGUUUGGCUUCGCCCGCCCGCCUACCGGCGCGUCCGCGCCCGCGCCGACCCACCGUGCUGGGUGCUCCCCCUCUCGCACGUUGGCCCCGCUGUUCGCCGCCUCUGGCUCGCCGCUGGCUGGGUCCGCCUUCGCGCGAACUGGCCGGCUGCCCCGCUCCCUCGUUGCGUGGCUGCCGCGUCCCAUCACCUGGCCGCCUCCGGCUCCCGCACGCCUGGCCGCCUCCGUGGUCCGACCUCCCGCACAACCCGGCCGCCGGCUCCCACGCGAACCCAGCUGCCUGCCAUCCCAUUCGCUCCACCAACCGCACGCUCGCCCCGCGACCGUGCGUCCGUGCCCCCACGUUGGUUCCGCCGGCGUCCCGGCGUCCCGCAUGCCGGCUGGCCGAUUCCCGCUCGACCCAGCUGUUGCUGGACCUCGAGCGCCGCAGCCGAGCGGCCUACUGGGCAGGCCAACUCGUGCCGCGCCGGCUGCCGCCCCGGCCGCCUGCUCCGCCGGUCGCCCGCGCCGGCUCCCACAAUGUCGUCUGCUGUGGCCGGCUGCCCUAG
rnacentral:rRNA from 1 species